GGGUCCAUGGCGUAGUGCUUAGCGCUCUGGGCUCUGAAUCCAGUGAGCUGAGUUCAAAUCUCCGUGCGACUU
rnacentral:tRNA from 1 species